CUGGCCUGACCCUCUCAGAGACACUUAGAAAGUGAAAGCCCUCUGCUGAUAGCAUAUCAAGAAAUCUCGCCUUGGAGAAGAGGGAUUGCCGGAGGCACAUGGCCAGUCACCAUGGUACCUGCCAUGGUAGAAGAAAUCCCCACAUGUAGAAGCGUCUUUAAAAAUCUGGUGUUCCAGCAGAAGACGGAGGAUGGGUGAAGAAGCAGUUGUUGGGGAGUUGCUUUGAACCUCUGAGGUUGGCCCAGGAGGAGGAAGUACACCUGCUAAUAGAAUCAUCACAAAAGGAGCAGACGAAGAAGCCGGACCCAAGGACAUCAAUGGAACCCCAGAGCCCUUCCCUGCACCAUUUUGCAGGGCUUCUGGUUAAACAUUCCAUUUUGAUUAGAAUGGAAAGACUCGGCACAUCUGAACACCCCCAACCCCCGAAGCUCCUGCCGCCUCUCCUGGAUCCAUGCAGAGAACAAGAGGAAGUCUGGAGUCCUAGGAAGUAGCCUGCCAUAGCAAGGCAACAUCUCGGCGCCUGAUCCGCUGUGAUUUGAUCUGCCACGCCACCUCGGAGACAGACGGAGCAACCCUUCAUUCCGGUCACACUCGCAGCACUUUGCUGGGUCAGCCGCUGUGACUCAGUGCUGCGCCCCAGACCGGGCUGGCGCACGUGGCUGUGCACACGCGCCCUGCCUUCCAGGAGGCGCAGCCACCGCGAGAGGCCUCCCGGGGCCCAGGCCAGGGGCGCCGGUGCCUACUCAUUAAUUAUUAAAGGAGGGCGGUUUUAUCUUGUCCGCUGGCAGAAUCGAG
rnacentral:lncRNA from 1 species